rnacentral:tRNA from 2 species
GGUGGGGUACCGAAGCGGUCAAACGGGGCAGACUGUAAAUCUGCUGGCUCAGCCUUCGUAGGUUCGAAUCCUACCCCCACCA